ensembl:lncRNA
AUGCUUGUCCCUUGGGGUCUAAGGGGGAUGCUUGUCCCUUGGGGUCAGGGAGUCGGGUGGGUGCCAAGGCUUGAAUUCCCUCGGGUGCCCUCAAUCCAGCCCUGUUUCAUGAGUUCUUCAGGGCAGAUUGCUGGUGGGGCGAGAGGUUUGCUCUCUGCCACCCCCUCCAAGCGAUGCUGCAGCUCGGGGCAAUGGCAGCUUUGUGCUGAGCGUGGCAGGAUUGGGCCCCCCCACCCCUUCUCCCCGUUGCUCCGGGAGCCCCCUGGUGCUGGUUCCGGCUCUGACCCAACAAUCCGGGGGUGCCGGCGGUGCCAGGGGCUGCCCCGGGGCAGGGUGCCCAGGAUGAUCGUGUCCCUGUGGCUGGCGUACAUCGCGGCACGGAAAGGCACCGGCGUGUACAUCCCCACCGACAGCGCACCGGUAAGCAGGGGGCGGCGGGGGGGGCUGUGGCCCUGGCUCCUGGGGCACUUUUGGUCCCUGGGUGAGUCCCAGGGCUCACCGGGUUCCCCUCUUCCAGGAUGGCCCCGUGGUGGAGGUGGACGCGUUGGCCACGGUCAGUUGGUGUCUGCGCAAGGCGAAGAAGAGGCAGGAGAAUGCCCGCAGGGGCUCGGGGGAGCCUGGGCUUUACGUCCAGGGCAUUUUUUUGAGGACCGAGCCAGCACUGCGUGUCGGGAUGCAACCCUUGGUGCACCCACAGCCAGCCUGCAGCUUUGCUCCCUUCGCAGGGUGAAGAGCUGCUCUCCAGGCUGUUCCAGAGGGUGCUGGAAAUCUGGGCAGAGCCCCGGGCAGAGCCCCAGGGGGAGCCCCGGGCGGAGCCCCAGGCAGAGCCUGCAGCGGCUCCCCCAGCCUCCCAGCAAGCCGGUGGUCCAAGCCCCCAGCCAGACCCGUGUCCAUCACGUCUUGAGCCUGCUGGAGGGUGAUCUGGUGGAGGACAGGAAGGAGCAAACUGAAAACGGCGUGUCCCAGGUGCUGCUCCAAGGCAUGCCGGACACCGUGAUGGAGGCCGUGAUGGAGGCCGUGACGGACACCGGGAUGGACUCCGUGAUGGACCCCAUGAUGGACCCCGUGAUGGACUCCACGCUGGACACCAAGAGCCAGGUCCAGCUUCCCAGCGAGGACUAGGAGGUGCUGAGAUCAAAACUGCAGCAAGCAAGCCCAAGGGCAGGCGGUGAACAGCAUGGAGAGGCCAGGAGCCAGCAGGGCAGCGGCACAGGGACACCCUAAAAAAGUCCCUGUCCCAUGCAGGACUGGGACCCCCCUCCCCGCCUCCAGAAGCAGGAGCUGUGGCUGUGCCAGGAGCAUGGAGCAGGAGCUGGGUGCCCGCAGACCCCCACUUUGCAUGUUACCGGGGACUUCAUGAAUUAUGCAGCCGCCACAGCACGGCAGGACAAAUCAGCUGCAACACGCAAGCACUAAAAAGCGUAUUUAUCUUUGCGUCCUAUUGAUUUAUUUUCCUCUCCUGUUUUUCAAGCUCAGGAAGCUGCAGUGAGGAUGGGAAAACAAGCCAGGCAUUUGGGGGGCUCCUGGAGUCCGAUGGGUUCCCCCUGCUAACCGAGCAGUCCCAAUGGGUUUCUCCACUUCCAGGCUGAAGCCCCAAAGCUCAGCGCUGCCUUGGAGAGAGCGAAGUCCUCUGAGCAGCCUGGUGCUUGUUUCGAUGGAGCAGGAGCCUGGGAAUAUUGCAGAGAAGACGGGAUGAGCAGGAUCCACCAAGGCGUGCACAGCCCAGGGGCUCCAAAGGCUCCGUGGUUGCUCCUGGCAUCUGUCCCUCUGCCCCCUGCCCCUGCUUUUUGGGCUCCAGAGGCAAACAGGUGUCACGUGUGUGUGAGCAUCAGAGCCACAGCAGUUAAGGGAGUGAUCUGCAGCUGGUUCUGGAGCACCGGGGUGCUCCCUGCUUUGCCAUCGCUCAGCUUUUGGACCGAUGGGAGAGGCAGGGCAGGGCUGUAACGCCAGCAGCAGACAGAGCCCUCUCCCACCUGGUGGGGAUGUCCUGCUCCUCACCUGCCCUGCAGCUGGCUGGGAGCCCACCCUCCGUGGGGAGCAUCGCUGGCACAUUUGUCCUCAUCCCAAUCGAAGUGCGACCAUCCGUUGCGACAAAAAUGCCUUUUUGUCCAUCCAUCUAUCCUUU